GCAAGUCGAACGGAAACGAUGGGAGCUUGCUCUCAGGCGUCGAGUGGCGGACGGGUGAGUAACGCGUAGGAAUCUACCCAGUAGCGGGGGAUAGCUCGAGGAAACUCGAAUUAAUACCGCAUACGCCCCACGGGGGAAAGGCCGGGAUCUUCGGACCGGUCACUAUUGGAGGAGCCUGCGUUGGAUUAGCUAGUUGGUGAGGUAAAGGCUCACCAAGGCAACGAUCCAUAGCUGGUCUGAGAGGACGAUC
rnacentral:rRNA from 1 species